GCUGGGUGUGGUGGCUCACGCCUGUAAUCCCAGCACUUUGGGAGGCCGAGGUGGGUGGAUCACCUGAGGCCAGGAGUUCAAGACUAGCCUGGCCAACAUGGCGAAACCCCAUCUCUA
ensembl:misc_RNA Metazoa_SRP Metazoan signal recognition particle RNA